rnacentral:rRNA from 1 species
UUUCCCUCAGGAUAGCUGGCACUCGCUUGAGCGAGUCUCAUCUGGUAAAGCGAAUGAUUAGAGGCCUUGGGGCCGAAACGACCUCAACCUAUUCUCAAACUUUAAAUGGGUGAGAUCUCUGGCUUGCUUGAACGUUGAAGCCACGAGAUUAUAUUUAUAACGGAUCAGAGUGCCAAGUGGGCCAAUUUUGGUAAGCAGAACUGGCGCUGUGGGA